AUUGAACGCUGGCGGCGCGCCUUACACAUGCAAGUCGAACGGUAACAGGUCUUCGGAUGCUGACGAGUGGCGAACGGGUGAGUAAUACAUCGGAACGUGCCUAGUAGUGGGGGAUAACUACUCGAAAGAGUGGCUAAUACCGCAUGAGAUCUACGGAUGAAAGCAGGGGAUCGCAAGACCUUGUGCUACUAGAGCGGCCGAUGGCAGAUUAGGUAGUUGGUGGGAUAAAAGCUUACCAAGCCGACGAUCUGUAGCUGGUCUGAGAGGACGAUCAGCCACACUGGGACUGAGACACGGCCCAGACUCCUACGGGAGGCAGCAGUGGGGAAUUUUGGACAAUGGGCGUAAGCCUGAUCCAGCAAUGCCGCGUGCAGGAUGAAGGCCUUCGGGUUGUAAACUGCUUUUGUACGGAACGAAAAGCCCUGGGUUAAUACCCUGGGGUCAUGACGGUACCGUAAGAAUAAGCACCGGCUAACUACGUGCCAGCCGCCGCGGUAA
rnacentral:rRNA from 1 species